rnacentral:ncRNA from 1 species
UGAAGGGAGAACAUAGCAAAAAUAUCUGUGCUUUUCAGAGAGUCUAAUGGGAUGCUUUGUAGAGAGUCUAGCGGAGCAGAAGGGCAAAAGCUCUCUUGAUCUUGAUUUUCAGUAUGAAUACAGAGCAUGAAAACGGGGCCUCACAAUUCUUCUGGUUUUAGGGGUUUUAAGCAGGAG